GACGAACGCUGGCGGCGUGCUUAACACAUGCAAGUCGAACGAUGAUCAGGAGCUUGCUCCUGUGAUUAGUGGCGAACGGGUGAGUAACACGUGAGUAACCUGCCCCUGACUCUGGGAUAAGCGUUGGAAACGACGUCUAAUACUGGAUAUGAUCACUGGCCGCAUGGUCUGGUGGUGGAAAGAUUUUUUGGUUGGGGAUGGACUCGCGGCCUAUCAGCUUGUUAGUGAGGUAAUGGCUCACCAAGGCGACGACGGGUAGCCGGCCUGAGAGGGUGACCGGCCACACUGGGACUGAGACACGGCCCAGACUCCUACGGGAGGCAGCAGUGGGGAAUAUUGCACAAUGGGCGAAAGCCUGAUGCAGCAACGCCGCGUGAGGGAUGACGGCCUUCGGGUUGUAAACCUCUUUUAGUAGGGAAGAAGCGAAAGUGACGGUACCUGCAGAAAAAGCACCGGCUAACUACGUG
rnacentral:rRNA from 1 species